CGGUGACCUCCGGCCGCCUGCAGGGAACCUUCCUUCCCCAGCUGCCUGGCGACCCCGGCCAGACCCCCUGUCCCAGCCCGUUAGGAACUCUCCAGACGCCCUCGGGCACAGAGGGACAGAGGGCAGCGGGGGCAGCUCACCGUGCAUCACAGCUGCUGCCCAGGGGCUGCCCUGAGCCCAGAGGUCCCGGCGUCCUUGGGGUCCCUGUUGGACAGCGCUGGACGGCGGCUCUUGGGGUACUGAGCACGUUUUCACUCUGUGCCCGCCAUGCGCUCUCCCACGCCCACUGCAUGGGGCACUCGGACCAGCUAGUCUCAUUCCCCAGGGCUUGUGGUUUUGGCUUCCUUCCACGCAGAGUAGCAAAAUGCUAUGCCUCAGUUUCCCCUUGACCUGGGCCAGCCGUGCCCCUGCCGCCUUGGGCUAAAGACUUGCCUUUCUGACAGCUCCUUUCCUGCAUGUGUGCUACCCAUCAGGCAGUUUGCAAAAACGACUGUAGAAUUAACUAGUUGAGUCAACCUUCCCAAGGGGAAUGGAAGUCCACGUUUCUCCCUGUGUAGAUGCAGUUGUAAAAGCCCCAACUCAGAGCAACUAAUGUUUUUCAGUGGCUUUCCCCUAGUUUACCCAUGGGAUGUCCUUAUUUCAGCUCAUUGAAAAUCCUUUUCACAGCUUGCUUAACAGAUGGGGAAACCGAGGCUCUGGAAGGUGAAGUGACUUGUCCAGGGUCUUCCAGGCCCGAGACUGAGGCAGGAACUUGGCCCCCGGUGCAAAGCCUGGGGGUGGGGGUGGCCUGGCUUCCUGCAUGGUCGCAGGCUGUUGAAUCAGCAGCGGUGCCUGAGGCUGUGGCAGCGAGAACAGCAGCAGCCGUGGACUCUGAACUCGCUGGAAAGCAGCACCAGAGAUAAGGCAGGCAGGGGCCAAGGGCUCACAGUAAGCAAUCUGCAACUCCCUGCCCUCCCGGUUCUUGUCUGCCAGUAGGAGACAGGGGCCAUAGGAGAGCUGAGUCUGAUGUGGGCUGGGACCUUGGAUCAGGUUGGCCCCAUCUGGGCAGCAGGGGAAGGAGGGCUGCUGGGCACCAGGGAAGUUGCUCCUCCUUGGUCUUAAUGGGAUGGGGAUACCCCAAGAUCAGUCCCUUUGGGGCUGUUUACUUGGCCAUGCUGAGAGGUAACUCCUUGAUUCCUCCUACAGGUAUUUGUGCACCUGCCACUGGGGUUUAGAGGGAAGCCCCACCAUCCUGCAGUGGGAGGAAAUGACACUGCCAUGCAAUUAGAGGCCUGGAGAGGCCAGCGGCUUUCCCAGGGCCACCCAGCCUGGAGACUGCAGAGCCACCCUUGAACCGAGUACAACCAGAGCUGAGCAGAAGGUAGCCUGCAAGGAUCUGUCCAUUCUGUGCUCCUCCUACCUGCACUAGUGGGUCAGCACCAGGAGGGUGGACCUCAGCCAUCUGGUUUAUCACUGUGUCCGUGGGGCCUAGGACAGUGCUGGCACACAACAGGUGCUUCAUCUCUGAUGAAUGAAGGAAGUUCCUGCAACCCUGGAGUAGAUUCUCUUCACAUCCCUGUUUUAAGAUGGAGAAACCAGGCCUCAGCCAAGAAACCAGAUCUUGUUCUGUGGCUUUUAUCCCGGGAAUGAAUCUCACUAUGUAGCCCAGGCUGGCCUUGACCUCUUGGUGAUCCUCCUGCCUCAGCCUCCUGAAUACUGGGAUUACAGGCAUCUGACACCUUGCCCAGCAUCUUUAUUUACUUCUUAGGAGCUGUGUGAGUUCCACAGGCUGCUUCCCGUCUGAUCUGAGCCUCAGUCCCCCUGCCCCCAAAGACUGCUGUGAACUGCUGGGGAGGUCUGGUGAAAGACACGCUGUUCCGGGGUGGGGACAGGCCCGGCCGCCAUGAAGCUGAACGAGCGCAGCCUGGCCUGCUACGCGACGUGCGACGCGCCG